CUUUGAGAAAGUAGCAAGGCUCUGAACGCCAGUAAAUUCUGUUGAGUUGAGCUGCAGUCCAGCAGGUCGUAUCUACAUCUACUUGCUUUGAUUGGUUGGACACUUCCAGUUGCUGUGUAUUACCCUUCAGGGGUCAGCUCACUUAAUUAAUGAGCUGCAUAAACCAUUUCAUCAAUUUUCCCACUGUGGAUGGGAUUACAGGAAAGAAUCUCUUUGUCUUUCUCUGCUUUCUUUCAUGCUCUGGACCAGGUUGUAAAAUAGGUAAUUUAUGCCAGGGGUUACAGAUUACAUGUUUAUUUAGCUAACCGAGUGCGUUAAUAAGACCCUGCGGGGGGCUAAAUGGUUUUCCAGAUCUGAAGGAUGCUGAAAAUCUUUGCCCAAAUGUAGCAAUUUAUGCAGGUUUUGGUGCUCCCCUUAUGCAACCCCAGGUAGAAAAGCAAUCAAUACUCACGGUAUUAAAUGCUAACCUGGCUAGUGACCUAUUGGUGUCGUCAUCUUCAAAGGCUUUCUAGUUCUUUUGAUUUUAUUUCUGGGGGCACAGGAGAAAGCUGAACUGUGUAAUUAAUUCAAUAAGCUACAAGUCGGCGAGCUGUGGCACCCCUGAUUGCCUCCUUCACCCGAUGUGGGACUCCGGCUGAAGACACUGUCUUCUCCGUGGCUGUCUUGGCUGCUGUUGCUCUGAAUUCCUCCUCUGUAAUCCCUAACUUUCAUUUUGCACUGAUGAGGAGGGGGAAAAUGAAACUAUGGGAGGGUUGGCUGACCCCUUGGACGUUUUCUCUAUAUCUCGGCAAAGCUGUAGGAGUGACGCAAGUGGACAGAUAGCACCUGGAAUGUCUUUGCUCUCAACAUAAGCAGGUAAAUUGCCUUCCUCCCAUUUGAAGUCCAAACCACACCCUCAACAUCCUCCUUUGUCUUUAGCUGAAGAUAGUAUUUAAAUUGGUGACUUCAGACAUUGUGACUCUUCUUUCAGUGAAGUGCAUCCAUGUGAUUGAUUCUCACCAAUGUGGGCAGAGAGAUGUGUGUCGCUUCUCACCCUUCUCAUCCAUUGACUGAAUGCAGUGGACUUUCAGACCAUACAGAAGCCUGAAUCCUCAAGAGGAAGUGGCAGCUGUGGGAAUGUGCCUCUCAGAUCUCUGAGUAUGAGGAACGAGGUUGACUGAGGACCCCAGCUUCUAUGCUCUGAAAACUGUCGCUGUCUUCACACCAAGGCCAACUGUCAACCAUGCUGCCUGAAUAGUGACUGAGCUCAGCAAAGAUGCCAUGGCAGGCUCAUUCCUGAGAGAUGUGGGGCUUCUCUACGAGAGACUUUGACUUGAGGACUCCCUGUAGAUCUUGAGGAAACUUUCUUGAAUUGCCCAGAAUUCUAAGACUUUUCCUACCCAGUCUUUUUUCUCCUUCCCUCUCUCCUUUCAGAGGUCAGAAUUGCAUCAUGGUCAGAUGACUUUAGGGCCUCCUCCAGUUCCCUACACAUUUUUCCUUACCAAAUUUUCCUCAAUCUCUAAAAGGUCGAAUUCCAUCUUGGCAUCUGCUUUUCAGAGGACUCGAACUAACAUAAGUGAUGCGAAGAAUGGUAUAAGAUAAUGGGCAGUAAGAUGGGGUUCAUGGACUGGCAAAGAAGAUACCAUCCUGAGUCUCUGACACACAGUUCAUUUGCUAAAUAUUGUACUGGUAGUGAUGGGGAAAAGCAUCUUUGUGGAGGAAAAUACCCUUGUAGGUAUGAUGAUUCGGGCAUACGGAAGGUGAGAGGAGAGCAAUGCCCACAAAGGCAGUGGAGUGGUGGUUAAGGUUAUUGCUAAGUUGUAUUGACACUCUGCAGAGAGCUAAUAAAGAACCAAAGACCAUUAACAAACAGGUAAAGUCUUCAGGGUGAGAACCAGAGGGUCUCAUUGGGAGCUUACAAAGAGGCUUCUACCUCCUGCCGUGGAAGAGGGGACACAGCUGAGCAGCAGACAGUAAACAUAAGAUCUAGUAGAAUUUCAGAGCUCCAGAGACUUUAAAUACUCAGGUGGGAAGAUCUGUAAUGUUAAAGUUGGCCCUGGUUGAGAAAACUAGAGACCCUGAAACAUGGAACAGGGUAUCUUGAUAGAUGGCCUAAGGGAUGUUGGUUCUCCAGGUCCCUCUGAACCCUCAGAGAUCACAGAGGUGGAACUUCCCCUGUGUUGUGCUGGAAGACACUGUGGAAGCCCUUCUCCCCCUCAGCAGAUGCCCUCUCUUCCUCUCCUGGCUGGUAGGCUGGUGACUAGUGUCAAAUCCCUGCAUAAAAUGACUGGCCUAUUGCUGGGCCUGAUAAGAGAGGAAAGAGAUUAAUCAAA
rnacentral:lncRNA from 1 species